UAUGGUGUUAACGAAAUGUGG
rnacentral:piRNA from 1 species